rnacentral:tRNA from 1 species
GUUUCGGGGAUUUAGCCGGCAAUAACGGCCUUUUAAGCCGUCGGUCAGGGGUUCGAAUCCCUUCUGGGACG